rnacentral:lncRNA from 1 species
UAGUGCUGGGAUUAAAGGCACGCACCACCACCUGACUUUUUUUUAAUAGAAUUUUCUUAAUAAGGCUGUAUGUAAUCUUUAUAUGUAGAAAAUCUUCAAAAGUCCAGUUUCUUUACCACAGUCUUAAUGUAGCAAGAGCCUCAUUUCAAAUGCUCAAGUGUGUGAUGAGGGUAAAACAUAGUUGCAUAAAUAACCAGGAAUCAACCAUUAUCUGCAAAUUUUCAAUCCACAAAUUUAUCUUACCAAAUAUAUGUAGGCACCUGCAGUAGUGGCAACAUAGAGAAAACAAAUUCCAACAAUUAUCUAAAAAGUAUGCUGAUCACUUUCUAACUACAGGCAUAAUAGGGUGGAGAGAUUUAAUCCUAGGUAAAUCUAGAAAUGUCUAAUACAAAAAAACUGCAUUCUAUAAUUCCAGAUAUGACUACUAUUGGUAAGGAAUAUUUAUUUUGAGUACAUCCUAGAUACUCAAGUAUAAUGUCACACUUUCCUAAAAAGUUUAGUCUAAUGACCUCGAAGGGGGAAAACUGUUUUGGAAAAAUAAACUUUCUCUUGUGAAAGACACACACUCAGAUAUCAAACUAAUAGGAUUUUAAAGUAAAUACUAUAAGCUUUGAAAGUGUUUGAAAGAGAGCAACUACACAGUCUUAUUCUCUGCUAGGGAAAGAGUAUUUGAUAAUCCAAAAUCCAAUUCUAUUUCAUUUCACAAGUUUUUCACCUUCUAUUUCAGUUUAAAUUCUUUUAAAAAAAAAGUUAUUAAUACCUUGGCAGACAGAAAUUUUAUGGUUCUGUGAAUGACAUUACAAAAGCUUAUCACAAAACCAUUAUAAACACUCUGUCAAGUAAAUAACCUUUCAACAAACAACCCGGAUCCAAAUAACUGCUCUUUGAAAACCCAGAAGUCACAGAAGACUUUUACAGAUGAGAAAAAACUCAUAACUUAGAUAAGAAACACGUCACAGCCAUGCUUUACUUCUUUAGUGCAUCCUAACUUCACCAUUAUAGAACCAAAUCCAUCCAUGAAAAAGAGCAAACUGGAUUGCACUUAGUCUACAUCAUAAAUCCUAAAAUUUUAGUCUACAAUGUAAUCCAAAGAACAUUCACUGAGAUUGAGUUUAAUGAUUCGAAAAUUGUACUAUUACAAAUGCAAGGCUUUGCCUUGUCCCCAGGAUGUUUUUAUUAGUUGCUUAAGCUGUACUUUUAAGAUUCAUAGCACAUUUAUAUCUAGGAGUCUAGCAUGAACUAAAUGUAAUCCAACCUCUGGAGAUCAUGAAACAUAGCAAAAGCACUUAUCCUUCAAAACCUGCAUUUCCAUAGUGAGAUAACUUUCAAGACAAUUACUAUUGAGUUGGUUCACUCAGUAAUCAAACCUUUACAGCUAAUAAGUAACUUAUAUCAAAUGAUUCUGGACGUUUCCUGAAAGAAAAUUACAAUCUAGCCCUUUAAAUACUACCCAGUCCUAAUACCUUCAAACUUGAAUCUGAUAAUCCAGAUAAGAACCACUGUUCCUCCUAUAAAAUGAAUAUUAAAAUCUGACUUCCUACCCUUAUAUUGCUUCAAAUUUUUGUUAUGCUCUAUAUUCUAGAAUGCAUGCAAACAUUCCAUAUUGUCUUUGGAAAAUAUUCUCUCCAGCUUUACUCCCAAACAUUAAAUUUACUUUUAACUGUAAUUUUAAUUUUGAUAAAUCCUAUUCUCUUACAUACAGAGUAUAAGGUGCACAUUCACCUAUUUAAAAAACAAAACAAACAACCAAAAAAAAAAA